rnacentral:tRNA from 1 species
UCUCUGGUAGUAUAUCGGAUAGUACAUCCGCCUGUCACUUCAAAAGGAUUCGCGGAAGAGCGGGGUUCGACUCCCCGCCAGAGAG